UACGUAGGGUGCAAGCGUUGUCCGGAAUUAUUGGGCGUAAAGAGCUCGUAGGCGGUCUGUCGCGUCGGCUGUGAAAACCCGGAGCUCAACUCCGGGCCUGCAGUCGAUACGGGCAGACUGGAGUUCGGCAGGGGAGACUGGAAUUCCUGGUGUAGCGGUGAAAUGCGCAGAUAUCAGGAGGAACACCGGUGGCGAAGGCGGGUCUCUGGGCCGACACUGACACUGAGAGACGAAAGCUAGGGGAGCGAAUGGG
rnacentral:rRNA from 1 species